AUGGUGGGAAUUUUAAAAGGCAUUUGUUGCAUUGAAGAACUGUUGUUGAUGCUGUUCUUAUGUUUUGUUGUUGCUCCAGUUGUUGCAGCUCCUGCUGUUCCAACACAUCUUGCACCAUUUGUGAUUGGCAAUGGAAAGUUUGGCUUGUCGCCAUUCCAUCUUGGUGUUUCGCAUGCUCCAGUGCCAAUUCAUUGGAUCCCUUUCUCCGAAAAUGCGGUGCAGUGCUGGAACGACGAGCUUUACAUGGACUGGUUUAUCCAUGGCAUGCCUUGGGAGCUAAUUAUCACUAGAACAAGGAUGGUGGAUAGUUUUCGUGAAGAUGGUGAGAUGGCCUACUACACUGUUGACGCUGGUGUUUGCAUGUUCAAUGAGAAGGAGAUGGACACGAUGCACGACACUGUAUACAAUCUGUGGCGUUGCAUGGUGCUUGCUAACUUUGCGGUAAGGAUGAUUGCUAUCCAUUGCACAUCCUUGUUAGAAAUAAUGUAA
rnacentral:rRNA from 1 species